GCUCCUCCUCUUCCUCCUGGGCCGCGCGGUGGACGGACGCGCGGGCUGUGCGGGCGUUGUGCAGAUUUGGAGAAAUCGUGAAAUGAAAUGGCGCAGAGGGACGCAGCAGCUAGCGUUUCUGUGGGGGAACGCGAGUGCAAUGUCCCGCGUUAUUAUUCAUCAGCUGGAUGCCCCCUGACGGGCGAUGCUGUCCUCCGGCCAUCGCGGUGUAGUCGUGGCUCCGGGUUCGACAGGAAGGUAUGCAGUCUUAAUGGUUUUGUAUCCCCUUAAAGCUUUGCCCAUUUAAGGCUGUCAGUGUCUUGGGUGGCCAACACAGGGGGGAACAGCACUCCUCUCUUAAACCCGAAGCAGAGGUGCCGUCUCUGGUUCGGAUCCUGUCGGGAGGAACACAU